rnacentral:rRNA from 1 species
GAUGAACGCUAGCGGCAGGCCUAAUACAUGCAAGUCGGACGGGAUUGAGGAGCUUGCUUCUCAUGAGAGUGGCGCACGGGUGCGUAACACGUAUGUAACCUACCUUAGUCAGGGGGAUAGCCUCUCGAAAGAGAGAUUAACACCGCAUAACAUUAAGUUGUGGCAUCACAGUUUAAUCAAAUAUUUACAGGACUAAGAUGGGCAUGCGGAACAUUAGCUAGUUGGUAAGGUAACGGCUUACCAAGGCAACGAUGUUUAGGGGAUCUGAGAGGAUGACCCCCCACACUGGUACUGAGACACGGACCAGACUCCUACGGGAGGCAGCAGUAAGGAAUAUUGGUCAAUGGACGCAAGUCUGAACCAGCCAUGCCGCGUGCAGGAAGACGGCCCUACGGGUUGUAAACUGCUUUUGUACCGGAAUAAACCUUUUCACGUGUGAGAAGCUGAAUGUACUGUAAGAAUAAGGAUCGGCUAACUCCGUGCCAGCCGCCGCAGUAA